rnacentral:sRNA from 1 species
CCGCGUGCGCACCCUCAUGAUCCUGCACAACCAGAUCACAGGCAUCGGCCGCGAAGACUUUGCCACCACCUACUUCCUGGAGGAGCUCAACCUCAGCUACAACCGCAUCACCAGCCCGCAGGUGCACCGCGACGCCUUCCGCAAGCUGCGCCUGCUGCGCUCGCUGGACCUGUCAGGCAACCGGCUGCACACGCUGCCACCUGGGCUGCCUCGAAAUGUCCAUGUGCUGAAGGUCAAGCGCAAUGAGCUGGCUGCCCUGGCACGAGGGGCGCUGGCGGGCAUGGCUCAGCUGCGUGAGCUGUACCUCACCAGCAACCGACUGCGCAGCCGGGCCCUGGGCCCCCGUGCCUGGGUGGACCUCGCCCAUCUGCAGAACAACAAGAUUAGUGCGGUGCCCGCCAAUGCCUUCGACUCCACGCCCAACCUCAAGGGGAUCUUUCUCAGGUUUAACAAGCUGGCUGUGGGCUCCGUGGUGGACAGUGCCUUCCGGAGGCUGAAGCACCUGCAGGUCUUGGACAUUGAAGGCAACUUAGAGUUUGGUGACGUUUCCAAGGACCGUGGCCGCUUGGGGAAGGAAAAGGAGGAGGAGGAAGAGGAGGAGGAGGAGGAAGAGGAAACAAGAUAGUGACAAGGUGAUGCAGAUGUGACCUAG